rnacentral:lncRNA from 1 species
ACCCAAGCGACCAAUUAGACUACAUUGGGAGCGUAUUUGGGCCGUAUCCAUCCCCGGUAGCAGCUCUAACCAAGCAAAAUGGAUUGGCGCUGCUAGGCUCGCGUCCCCCACGGCUUUGAAGGGGCCGUCGAGCUUUGGGGAAUCCCUCCGCGCGCCAUGGCCUCCGCCUGGGAAGAAUUCUCCGAACCCGGUAUUCCCCUCCUCUCCUCUGUCGGUUUCUCUUUUUGUUUCGUUUAAUCGCUCGAGAAAACGGGUCCAGAAUUGCGAGAAACGUCUUCUGUCGUCUUUCCAUUAUUACUUCGUGCUCUGGACGGAAGUUUAUGGAGGCUUUCUGCCCUAGAUCGCUUCUCUUGCUUUUUAGUGAACGGCGUGGUUAAUCGAGAUCAAGCGCCGGUGGAUAGGAUAGGGCAUGAUUCUACAUUGAGAUUGCUCAAGCUUAGGGUUGUUAGUAAAAUACGAUGAUGAUGAGGACGUCCAAGGAAUCGUUCCACAUCGCUAGAGAGCCGGACGAUAUAUAUUAGGUCUGUGGCUUAGACUUUCGUUGAGACAUUCUCUCAAACACUUCCCUUUCUUCCACUUCCAAAGAUUAUUAGAUACCGUUCUUUCUUAGAAGUUAAUCAUAUCUUAGUGGUUAUGAAUAACUGAUGCUAUUUGUUUUCAGCAUGCAUUAAUCUGCGGCUAAUUGUUAUCAGAUUUAGAUACCAGUCACGAAAAAUCGACAAGAAUUUCUGCAAGUAUGGUGCUGUGACCGGAACAUUAGUUUUGUUGUGACCAUGUCACAACUUGAGCACAUACUUGUGGAAAUAUAAAGAUAGUUAACUAAGGUCCUUACACUUUGUUGGAUCCAAGAUUUUUGGAGUCUACUCGAUUCAUUAAACACAGGCUUGGAUAGAAAAAUAGGCGCCUAAUUCUCGGGUAGCUUAGGUACUUAGCCGGGUUAGUAUACUAUAAAAUUUAUAGGCACCUAUCCCUUUGUCAUUUUAUUGUUGAACAACAACAACAACAGCAAUGGGUUGUGUUCUUUUUCUCUACUAAACCAUUUAAAUCAGAUUCAAGUGCUUUAAGUAGGAUUUGGGAUGAGUUCGGGCUUGAGUGAAAUCUGUGAGUUCUGAACCAUUAGCCAGGUUUAGCCAUUUUGUCCAGAUUUAUUACGACUUCUUGGAAAUAAAGUGCAUUGUUGACAUUUGACUCCUUGGUGGCAGUUCUUUACUUUUCUUGAUCUUUUAUGACUGUAGAGGUUGAAGUAGGAAAGAUGCUGUCUAUGAUGGGCAGGUCAUGGCUCAAACUUCAAACAUGUUUACCACAACAGUCUUGGAAUAGAAUAGCAAAAGAAUCAAAUGAAGUCUUCCUAACUGUCAAAUUUUAUAUUGGCACUCUGAGCAGAUUCUCUUUGGGAAAGAACCCACUGAAACCCGGUUUUAUAGAUGAAGAUGGUGGCACAGCAAGUUAAGUUAGGUUACCCCUGCAAUGGUCCACCUUCCCUUCAAGAUCUUUCAGGAGGAUUGUGCAUGCAAGGGUGUAGCACUCCAUGAGACCUGAUGGCCUUCGAAAGAACUUCCACGUCUAGCAUCAUGAACUCAUUCAAUUCCAUUGAAUGAGGAAUCAUGAUUGUUUGUGUAUUUAUUUUUCCAUGGUCUGUUUCUACACUCAUCUCUGUUUCUGUUGAGUAAUGUCUCACACAUAGUUCCUGCAUUAAAAGGGGAGAACAAGGAGGACCACAUUGAAUGGGAAGACUGAGUGGGAAUGAUAUUUGCUUGGGCUUGGGAGCUUUGGUACACAAGCAAACAUGAGUGGAGACCCUUUGGGUUUUUCUUUUUCACCUACGUUGCACUUUAUGCAAUCAUAGGUUUUUCAUGAGCCUCCAAUAUUAUAUAGACCCAAAACACCAUGGAAGGGACCUUUUUGAUGGAACCAAUGGAUUAGCCAUGAUUUUGUCUCCAUCUCAAAGUUGGAAGGUCCAUGAUGAUACCCUUCAAAACCAUUUAUUUAUAAGAGGACAACUUGAGCCCGCACUACUGUAAGCACAACAAGUGUCACCAUGAUCUAAUGAAGUCUACCUGUAAUUCACAUAGCACUUUCUUCUUGUUAAGAGCUACUAGAAAAGGGAUUGGUGGGAGUGAAGUAGGCCUGAAGUUAGGUUAUGCUUUGGCCAGUGGGACAGAGAUGUCCUGCUGAAGGUCUCGAGAUACAUGUCUACAAGGCUAGAUUAGGGUUUGGGCCUCCUUUAAUAAGGGCAUUUUAUUCCAUAGGGUGAGCUGAAGGCUAAGGGUUAAGACCUAGAGUAGUUGCCAAGUUUUUGGAAGGCCACAAAUGAGAGGCAUGACACAGUUUUUGACAAGCUAGUUAUUCUUAUCUGUUUGGAUAACAAGUGCUUUCAAAGUCCAAACAGGUGAGGCAUAUGGUCUAGACCAUAGGCUUAGUCUAGAUGGUACAUCUAAAAGCAUUAGGACACCAGAGAUUUAUACACAACAAGAGGAAGAAGUUGGCUCAGGCAUUGCUGCUACAAACCCUAGAAGUGUCAUACUUUGUAAGUUACUUUAUGGUAGAGUAGAACAUCAUUUUUAACUUAGAGAAGACAAUGGAAUUGUGCUGUUAAACGUGUGCUGAUGCAGAGAGAUGCAGGCUCUGCUACCUCUGCUGUUAAACCCCAGAGGUAGCAGAGCCUGCAUUUAUAAUCUUAAUGCUUGCGCAUCUCUAUGCAUGAUCAUCUCUAUCAUAUAAUGGUAAUGAAAUGGCAGAGUCCAUGUUAAUCUUUGAUAGAAAACCAUGAUAAGAGAGAGAGAGAGUUGAAGAGCUAGUGUUUGAUAAGGAGCAUAGUCCACCUUGAAAGGGUAAAAAGCCCUUGCAAGAUUCUCCUCGAGUGCUUGUGUCGAUGAUACCUCGUGAUGAAUCUCAUCAAAUGGUGUCUACUUUAGGACUAGAAUGGACUUGGUGCUAUGAUAAGAUGGCAUUUAAUUCCCCAUUAAUUAGAGCACAACCAAUCGACCAUCAAAAUGGGGAUAACCUUGAGGAGUUCAUGCAAGCAGAUUACCGAAGAUAGCACUCGACACAAGUUUACGGGAGAAGCUUCAACGGAGAGCAUCGCCAUGAUGAAGACGACUCUUUUCCUGCCAUGUCGAUCUCCUCUCACCGUAAACCAAUCCCAAGGCAAUAAAUGCGACAGAAUUAAGUGCUAACCCAGUCGUAAUGGUGCAUGUGACGUGCUGCCUCCUCAAGAUCUUAAUGACCAUAAUCCAGCUUACAAACACAUCAACCAAGGAACAUAUUCUAAGCCUUUAUCUUCCAUGAUCUGGUACAUAUAUGCAUGGAUAGGUUUGACUUAUUAUGAGUGCAUAUCGACAUUGAGGCAUAUGGACGUACGGUGGUUGUUGGAGGAGGGUGAUGGCAUGCAGACCCAUGCAAAUUAUAAGGUGGCUGGGAAUAUUAUCUCAGGAGAUGUACUGACACGCUGCAUGUGAGUGCACACGUCUCCUUUCUCGGGGAUCCUAUGCCUUGAGAUACUCUCCUCAGGUCGAUCGGCUCCUGGGUCACGAUUCCAGAUCUCCUGUGGUUAUAGAGUUCUGGUUUCCCAUUUGUGUGGUAUGAACUGGGGGAGUUGUGAGUUCAGUCAGAUUGGCCGUCGGGUAGAACUGAAAUCAAUGACCCUUCUGAUCAUCACUUCUAAAAUCAUCCUCAUAUCUUGAUUAAUUGAUAAACAUGUAUAUAUUUUUCUGAUGUAGGAGGAGUUUUUUUCCUCUUAAUUUUUAAUCGAUGUCAUUCCAUCUAAGACAUGUUUUGAUUUAUGCCUUUCACACUCUCUCACGAUGGUAGAUGACUCAACCCG